AACGCAAAUUGCGCUUGAGGCUUCGGCCAAAAGCAUGUCUGCCUCAGCGUCGGGUUAAUACUCGCUCCCUGUUCACCCAGGUGUGGCGGAACUGACUGUCUCGGCACUACUUCUAUAGUGUGCCGGGUUGGGUGAAGUAUGCAGUUGUUUUGGCGCACGUGGACCCGCCUUUAUGGUAGGUGUGCAUCCACUGGGUAGGCAAAUCCAAUUUGCUAAAUGCUUGAGUGGAUAGCUGAAUGCGUGUACUGCAAAACACAAAGCAGGAAAAUUAAUCCUAAUUUCUAGAAAUGAGCACAGGCAAGAUUACCCGCUGAACUUAA
rnacentral:misc_RNA from 1 species